AGCGGGGGCUUCGGCCUGCCGGCGAGUGGCGAACGGGUGAGUAAUGCAUCGGAGCGUGCCCAGUCAUGGGGGAUAACUACGCGAAAGCGUAGCUAAUACCGCAUACGCCCUGAGGGGGAAAGCGGGGGAUCGCAAGACCUCGCGUGAUUGGAGCGGCCGAUGUCGGAUUAGCUAGUUGGUGGGGUAAAGGCCUACCAAGGCGACGAUCCGUAGCGGGUCUGAGAGGAUGAUCCGCCACACUGGGACUGAGACACGGCCCAGACUCCUACGGGAGGCAGCAGUGGGGAAUUUUGGACAAUGGGGGCAACCCUGAUCCAGCCAUGCCGCGUGAGUGAAGAAGGCCUUCGGGUUGUAAAGCUCUUUCGGCCGGGAAGAAAUCGCAUGGGUUAAUACCCUGUGCGGAUGACGGUACCGGCAUAAGAAGCACCGGCUAACUACGUGCCAGCAGCCGCGGUAAUACGUAGGGUGCGUGCGUUAAUCGGAAUUACUGGGCGUAAAGCGUGCGCAGGCGGUUUGUUAAGACAGGCGUGAAAUCCCCGGGCUCAACCUGGGAACUGCGCUUGUGACUGGCAGGCUAGAGUACGGCAGAGGGGGGUGGAAUUCCACGUGUAGCAGUGAAAUGCGUAGAGAUGUGGAGGAACACCAAUGGCGAAGGCAGCCCCCUGGGUCGAUACUGACGCUCAUGCA
rnacentral:rRNA from 1 species